rnacentral:lncRNA from 1 species
AAUAUCCUCUAGCUUUUAUACUCUUUUUGCUCAUAUGACCCAGAAAAUGGCUGAAGGUAUGAGUUGAAUUAUCUUCUUUGGCCCUUUUUUUUCUUGAAAUAAAUCUCCUUUGGCUCUUUAUUAUUGUGCCAAGCCCAGCACUCAGAAACCAUUAAGUCCCCAAGGCCUUGCCAAUAUUGAGAUAACUAAGGGCCCAUUUCAGAAGAACUAGGUUACUUGACAUCACAAAAGUAAGUAAUUUGACAUCCCUUGUGUUUAAGAUUUACUGAGAUGUACAUGUUAAACUCUUGACGACUUAUGAUUUUAGCCAUCCAAUUAUGUUUUCAGACCAACCCUACACCCAAUAGGGAGAUAUUGAAGGAGAAAAUUUGAUGUU